GCAAUUCAAGGGAAAAGUUGUACAUUUUCUUUUGUAGCUGACAUGGACAUAUUCACUGGAGAGGCCAUCGAUGUUGUCAUCGGAUCCUCAAGAGAUGACGGAAAGGUGUAUGCUGGAUCCGGGCAAUGGAUAGAAAAGGCUGCUUGGGGGACAUUGUUGCGGUCUACGUCUGACUAUGUUCUGCCGUAUGGCGUCCACAAUGUAUUGGAUGCCAGAUGAGCUUAAGAACAGAAGCGUGACCGGGACUUUGUCCAUCAAGUCGCGAUCCAAGGGAAGGACUGAGGCCAGACCAGCCGUGACACCACAAAAGUUGUCAUCCUUGAAAAGCCUCCUCCGGAUCUUCAUGGGCAACAGUGUCACGCCGGAAGACGAGAAAAAAAAGAUUGAAAGAAGUGCGCAGGCAAUUGGCGCAGAAACUCACUGACGUGCAAAAAAGGUAGUGCUACUGGUACUGAUAGCUACGGGGCUUGUCCCAAAAGUUUGUGCAGUGAGCCAGCAAAAACGCGGCAGAGAAUGUAGUGACAUGAACUGCUCAAACUUCUGGGACAGACUUUGUAUAUUGACCUUACCAGCUUAGCACUUCUACCUUUCUUUGUGGAGUUAGUGCUUACCGUAUUUAAUAAAAAAUAGGUCCAACAUGAGUAUAGGUCGACCACUAUAUAUUGAAUUAGUUGAGAAAUUUAGAAAAUUUUAGUUUGAAUUAAGUGGACCAAUAUCUUUCUUUAGCAGUAGUAGUGUAAACUUAAAUUAUUUCUCUUAAGGGUCUUGGGUGGUGGGUGGGUGCCUCAGUUUAGAGCUCCAUUGGUCUCUGUGGCUCGCUGGGAUUGAUCGAGAAGAGCUCUCUGGCUCUCUAGAUUUUUGCUAGCAAGCCAAACGUCCCGCUGCCUGUUACUUGGAAUUUGCGCCGUUAGGGGGUGAAUUUAGAGUUUGGAAGUCGUUGCUUACAUAUCCACAUUACAUGGACGAGACUUGGCCGCUCCCUACACCAAGGGAAGUGGCAGGGUGUAUGCAUCUUGCGAAGUAUUUGGAUGUAUGGAUAUGCGUGGAGGACCACACAAAUACCGAUGGAACGAAAAAUAUUAGGUCUAUCUUUAAGAGACGGGAAGAGAGUGUGGAUCAGAGAGCAAAUGGUGAUAGCCGAUAUUCUUGUUGACAUUAAGAGGAGAAAUGGAACUGGGCAAGCCAUGUAAUGCGUAGGAUGGAUAACCGGUGGAUCAUUAGUUACAAUAUGGAUACCAAGAAAGGGAAGCGCAGUCGAGGA